rnacentral:lncRNA from 1 species
GCUGGAACCCUCCACUACGAAGGGCUCCUGUGUGGUCUCGCUUCUUAGUUUUCAUUGUCAGUGUCCUUUGCCGUCCCCAGUGCUUUUGGGUGGAUCUUCGUCAUCGUCCUAGGAUUGCUCACCACCCUCAAGCUUGAAAACCCACCGAAAACCACUUGGCGGGCGUUUUUAAGUGCCGAGUUGAACAUGGCUGAAGGCUGGGGCUGUCUUUUUCCCUGGCGUCUUCCCCUGAAGCCGGCAGAAUGACGGAGAAAUGGUACUGAUUGUAUGAAAGCAUCCCCUUCAGCCAAUUCCAGUCUUCCUGAAAAGACCCCUGAAAGAAACAGGCCUCUUGAGCACUUGAUGCAGAUGACCACGAGUGGAUAGCCACCAGCAGGAGGAUGGAUUCACGAAAGCUCAACGUUUCCUGCUAGUCCAUGACCCAUAAUGACUCCCAGGAUGCCCAACAUGUCAGAAGGAAUCUUGUGGUCGCAAGUGACAGAGGAUUGAAUCCAAAUCAAGUUGGCAAAACCAGUCUCAAAUGAAUGUGACUUGAAAAUUCGUAAGGCUGGGAGAACACAUCGCUGCUCAGCUGGAGGAAAGUCAGAGAGCAUCUGAG